AGGCCAUCCAAGUCAGUGUUGUUGCACAUGAGCAACUGAAGGCAGAAUUUGGCUCAUGCCGCAUGAAGAAAGGCAAGGGACAGUUUUUCAGGUUCCAAAUAUUCCUUAGAUCUCUGGAAGAUGAUGAGAUGAUCAAUCAGGAGACUGUGGCCAGAUAUGAGAGAUUAGACAAGCGCCAUGGUAGCAACAGAAAGAGUAGUCCCUGCUGAGUGCUUUCUGAACUUUUGGGGUGCAUUUAAGGAAACAUGGUCCCUGAUCCUGGAAGCUCACAAUCUAAGGAAUUCAUAAGAUAAGUCACUGAACUUUAUUUCCUUGUACCAAUUUAUUAGAUGGCACCUUAUUGUAUUAAUUAAUGUGAUUAUUAGAGCUGGUUGGAACAUUUUCAAAGGAAUCAUUUUUCAUCAGAAAAUGCAGGGGUUUUUUUCAGAAUGAAAAUGUUCUACAGGACUGUGUAGCUUUUGAGAAAAAUUUCAACAAAGUGUUGAAAUCAUUUCAACUUCCUGAAUUUGUUUUGAUGACAUGUUUUGUUUUUAUAAGGGAAACAUUCCAUUUUUACCUUAUCAUUUUGUUUCA